GCGGAGAUGCCGGAGCGGCCAAACGGGGUUGACUCAAGGCACAGGAAGCGGAGUGCUCAAUGAGUGCGAUGAGGCGAGUGUAAGUCAUCAACUGGCUUAGUGCCUUCGCAGGUUCGAAUCCUGCUCUCCGCA
rnacentral:tRNA from 1 species